rnacentral:rRNA from 1 species
GAUGAACGCUGGCGGCGUGCUUAACACAUGCAAGUCGAACGGGAAAUCUUUUAUUGAAGCUUCGGCAGAUAUAGCUGGUUUCUAGUGGCGGACGGGUGAGUAACGCGUGGGUAACCUGCCCUAUACAGGGGGAUAACAACCAGAAAUGGUUGCUAAUACCGCAUAAGCGCACAGGACCGCAUGGUUCGGUGUGAAAAACUCCGGUGGUAUAGGAUGGACCCGCGUUGGAUUAGCCAGUUGGCAGGGUAACGGCCUACCAAAGCGACGAUCCAUAGCCGGCCUGAGAGGGUGAACGGCCACAUUGGGACUGAGACACGGCCCAGACUCCUACGGGAGGCAGCAGUGGGGAAUAUUGCACAAUGGGGGAAACCCUGAUGCAGCGACGCCGCGUGAAGGAAGAAGUAUCUCGGUAUGUAAACUUCUAUCAGC